CAACGCCGAAGAGAGUCCGGUACAUUUACAUAGAGUUGGAGCUAUGCCUCCAAUCUCUCAAACUGGCUCCGGUGGUGGGCGUAUGAAGCUAGAAGGAAGAUCCCAAUCCAGUUGCAUGCAUCUGGCGACAAUAGAAUCUCUCACACGCCUGUCCAGAUUCGAUUAACUGUAGUGGAGAGCAGGAGUUUGUUAACUGAGUUGGGUCGUUGUCUUCCUCGCCAACGAUUUGAGGCUCGAGCAAUUAGAUCACGCCAUGAGGAUGGGGCAAAAUUGAAUCGACUGAAAGCAGCCCAAAUCGGCCGAAUGACUGAACAGUCAAGGAAGAGGUGGUCAUGCGAUUCAUCCACUGAUUGACAAAACAGAUACAGCUUUGGGCCUGGUGCCGAUUGCAUACUACUGCGAUCAAGUGUAGAAAGACGCUUCUGCACAGCUAGCUAGAGUGUGAACUUACAUCUCGGUACCGACAAUGAAUUCCAUACAAGAUGCUGCCAUGGGCCUGGUUGGUGGUGUGGGGCAAGCCAGUGAAUUGUGUGGCUGACUGAGAAGGUCCCAGUUGGAGAUGGGAUCCAACUAUAAGAAUCCGGCUCGCUGCUAGGGGCAUCAAUAUGGUUGAGCUCUGGAACUAGUAUUGUUAACGCAUUUGGGAAGGUCCACUCAUUGUUCUGCACGAAUGAAGAAAGCUUCUGGCCAAGAGGGAUUCCUGAGUUGCGGAUCACAUCUGAGCAGAAACGUAGAGUGGGAGGCCCUCUGUCCUCCCAUAAAAAGGUAUGAUCACCUCUCCCCACGCGUCUCUUGCUCAUUGUCCUAGCCACUCCCUUUAACUGUAGAAUCCUCGUCCAAUUUGCGGAGCAUGCCUUCAGAAUCCUCUUACUUGAACCGGAUCUGUUCUAUAGACUCGUACCUCUGCAGCCUUGAUUACUCACAAGUUGUUAUAAGUUGGUCUAUAGUCAAUUUUCUUAAUGAAUUUAUAAGUCCAAAAUUGACAGUGAGAGUGACGGCGACGUGGAAGCCACUAUAAGCACCAUGUCCAAAUUUUAUUAAAAAAAAAGAUUUGUGAACAUUAAUAUUAAUCUAAAAGGAUCUAAGCAUGUAAAAAUAGGUCAUCUUCUCUUUAUGGGAAAAAUCUAUUUUAUCUCUCAACAAAGGAAAAACAAAUUGUAAAAUGAUACUUAAAAGAACCAUAUAUAUAUAUAUGUAUAUAUGACCGGAAAUAUGAAUAACUCAUUCACAUUACGAGUUGAUUGAUGGAUCUAAGAAUGAUUCAAGGCCAUUUUGAUAAAUAAAUAAAGAUAUUAUAGAGAUUUUAAGUUAAAAAAUGUUGAUUUUUUGCCGCAACAAUUUUUAAACAGUAGAGGUAGGGAUGUAAUUGUAUAUUUUUGGAAUAGUAUGAGAGAGUUUUCAGUUUUGUACAAAACUAAAAGUACAAAGAGAUUUUCUAUGAAAUUGUAAAGUGGUUGUUUGUUUUUAUUUAUUUAUUUAUUUAUUUUUUAAAUAACACCAAUCUCAUUUGAGAUUUUGUCAAGAGUUAUGGGGUGGAUGACGAGCCUGGUAUAAUUAUGUUUCUUUCUUAUAUAUAUUAGUAUAAUUUAUUACAAUAAAUAUAUCUUUUAAUACUAGAAUUGAAAUUUAAAAGUUAUAAAAUUGUUGGCAAUGGUAUUUUUAUAUUUAUUUUUACUUUUUUAUUUAAAUUUAUUUUUUGGUCGUUGACAAUUAACAGAUAUGUGUUAUUCACUCGUAAAUUUCGGUAAGUAAAUUUGACCAAAAAGGAAAGAAGGUCGGAAAUCUCUCGUGUAAUUUUUUUUUUGUUUCUUAUUAUUAUUAUUUUUUGGACCCAAAAAAAAAUAAAAAAGAAACAUUACACACCGGUUUACUGUGAGAGGAGCUUUGCUUUCUUCUUCGCGAGCCUUCAGUGCCGGUUCUUUCGUCCGUCCACGAGGCUGCAAAAAGAGAGAAAGGGCGGCGAUCUGAUUCCGAUCCGGGACUCCGGCAAGACGCUUCACGUCCGGCCAUUCUACUUCUGCAGCCCUUCACCACUACAUCUCCAUUACAUACCUUUGCCACCUCCCCUGAACGACAAGGAGCCACAGAGAGAGAGAAAGGAUCAAACUCUUUUGCGUCCUGAACCAGAGCAGCUUAUGAACAAAGCAAACAUGGAAGAGGGACUACUAAACAGUUCUUUGAUUCUUGAAGAAAAGCCUGAAGUUAGCGGCAUUAAUGGUGGUGGUGGCAGCAAAGAAGUGAGUGGUUCCUCCGCCAUCACAGCGGUGGUUGUCUUCAGCAUCUUUGUGACUGCCUCCGGUUCCUUCGCAUAUGGUUGUUCUGUGAGUGGUAUUUAAUUAAGCAUUAGUGAGUUUGUAUACUUUCUUAAUUUGAUGCAUAUAGGGAUAUUCUUGUGGUUUGAACAUAGGAAGCACGGACACGGAUAUGACAUGAUACAGCCGCAAAUCUCAAAAAAUAUAGGACAUAAUUACAACGCUGAUACGUAUAUAUUAUUAUAUAUGUAAAUAAUAAAUUUUAGUCAUUUUAUCUAUGAAAUCGUGAAUGAAAUCACUAAUUUGGAUUUUAGGCUCAGUUUGGUAGGGUGGAAAUGGGAGGAAAGGGAAGUUGAUGGAGGGUGAUUAAAAAGUUGUGUUUGGGUGAAAUGUGUGGAAGGAAAGGGAAGGAGAGGGAAGGCUAAGGAGGGUUAAGUAUAGCUUUGCACAGUAAUUUAAUUAUCCUCCCAAAAAUGGGAGGAAAUGGAAGGAAAGGGAAGGCAAUGGCACAUGUGAUACAUGUGAUGCCAAUUUUAUCUACACAAAAUCAAGGAUUUAGUUAGCAAAACAAGAAUUACAGACCUUGAUUGGUUGAUUUAGCAAAACAAAACCCAUACAUAUAAGUUAGCCAUUGCA